rnacentral:rRNA from 1 species
AUUGAACGCUGGCGGCAGGCCUAAUACAUGCAAGUCGAGCGGAGCGGCGGACGGGUGAGUAAUGCCUAGGAAUCAGCCUGGUAGUGGGGGAUAACGUCCGGAAACGGGCGCUAUUACCGCAUAAUAUAAGAUGAGCUUCGGUGGGAUUAGCUAGUUGGUGGGGUAACGGCCUACCAAGGCGACGAUCCGUAACCGGUCUGAGAGGAUGAUCAGCCACACUGGAACUGAGACACGGUCCAGACUCCUACGGGAGGCAGCAGUGGGGAAUAUUGGACAAUGGGCGAAAGCCUGAUCGAGCCAUGCCGCGUGUGUGAAGAAGGUCUUCGGAUUGUAAAGCACUUUAGUUAGGGAGGCGUUACCAACACAGAAAGCACCGGCUAACUUCGUGCCAGCAGCCGCGGUAAUAC